UCAGAGAAAACAAUCUGGAAAAGGAAAAACAAGGGGAAAAAAAGAGACUGAUAUGAUAGAGAAUUGCAAACGAAUUGUUCAUACUCGAAUUUGAUUGUGAAUUUACAAAAGAAUUCGACAUACCAGAGGUUGAUUGCUUCAAUGGAGAUGGCCAAAAGAAUAUGGUUUUCUUUGGUGGGGCAACCCAUCUUUUUGUUGGUUCUUUUUAGCCCCCUUAUCCCCUUUGUGUGUGGCCGGAAUGUUCAGAAUUCUCCUUCUGGUUUGUAUGGGUUCACUGGAAUAUCAAGUUUUCGGUUAAUAAACCGACGAUCUUUAUUAACUUGUCCUGACCCUAAUCCUUACCUUGCAAUCAAUGUAACCUCUGUUGAUCCCCUUGCGAACGAACAGAAUGUUACUGUUACAGUUAGUGGGGUGAUAAUUCCAGAUAAAUCCGAUUGGGUUGCCAUGAUCUCACCUUCUGAUUCAGAUGUAUCAAGCUGUCCCGUCAAUUCUAUAAUGUAUCAGCAAACAGGGGACUUCAGCAGCCUUCCUCUUCUCUGCCAUUACCCUGUGAAGGCCCAAUUCUUAAGCAUGGACCCUUCAUAUCUCAAAUGUGGGAAGAAAGAGUGUCGAACACAUGCCAGCAAUGUCUGCGUGCUAAGAACAUGCAGUGGGUCUAUCACAUUUCAUGUUGUGAAUAUAAGGACCGACAUAGAAUUUGUGUUUUUCACAGGAGGCUUUGAGACACCAUGCAUUUUGAGGAGAUCUCAACCCUUGAAAUUUGCAAAUCCGAAAAUGCCUCUCUAUGGCCAUCUUUCAAGCAUCGAUUCUACUGCGACCUCUAUGAGGUUAACUUGGGUAAGUGGAGAUCGUUCUCCACAAGAAGUCCAAUAUGGGGACGGCAAAUCUCAAAAGUCCACAGUCUCCACAUUCACCAGGGGUGAUAUGUGCACUUCCGAUUUAGCUAGCCCUGCAAAAGAUUUUGGAUGGCAUGAUCCUGGUUACAUACACUCAGCUGUAAUGACAGGAUUACAAUCCUCCCAAACCUAUUCUUACAGAUAUGGAAGUGAGUCUGCUGGUUGGAGUGAAAAGAUCAAUUUUCACACUCCCACAGCGGGAGGGUCCGAUAAGGUUCGGAUCGUAGCAUUUGGUGACAUGGGGAAGGCUCCUAGAGAUUUAUCAGUUGAGCAUUUCAUCCAGCCAGGAUCAAUCAUGGUGAUCGAAGCCAUAGAAAAGGAGGUGGCCUCAGGCAAUGUAGAUGCAGUGUUCCACAUUGGAGACAUCAGCUAUGCUACAGGAUUUCUAGUGGAGUGGGAUUACUUCCUUCAUCUCAUCCACCCUGUCGCUUCUCGAGUUUCUUACAUGACCGCAAUUGGAAACCAUGAAAGAGACUAUGUGGAUUCAGGGUCGGUAUACGAAACACCAGACUCAGGGGGAGAAUGUGGAAUCCCUUACGAGACCUACUUUCCCAUGCCUUCAUCUUCAAAAGAUAAGCCAUGGUAUUCCAUUGACAUGGGCAGCAUCCAUUUCACAGUCAUUUCAACAGAACAUGAUUGGACUCAAGAAAGUGAGCAGUACAAAUGGAUAGAGAAGGACCUGGCAUCUGUGGACCGAUCAAAGACACCAUGGGUGAUUUUCACAGGACACAGGCCCAUGUAUUCCUCACAAGGAGGAGGUAUAAUCCCAAGUGUAGAUCAACGCUUCACAAAAGCAGUUGAGCCACUCCUCAUGAAACACAAGGUAGACUUAGUUCUAUUUGGUCAUGUUCAUAAUUAUGAGAGAAGCUGCUUCUUGUAUGAGGGGGAGUGCAAGGGCAUGCCAAACAAGGAUAAGAGUGGCUUAGACACCUAUGACAACACCAACUACACUGCCCCUAUUCAUGCUAUCAUUGGAAUGGCUGGCUUUAGCCUAGAUGCCUUCCCCAUUAUCGAAUCUGAAUCGCUAUUUGUCGAACUGAAUAAAAAAUCCAACGGGGCGAUCCGGAUCACCAAACAGUGUUGGCAAAUGGAGUUUGGUUAGGGCUUCCGAAUUUGGAUAUUUUAGAAUACAAGGAACCAAGGAGCAGCUAUCCUUGGAGUUUGUGAGCAUGAGGACAGAGAAUGUGGAGGACAAAUUCAACAUUAUCAAGGCGAAGAGAUAGUCUCUUUCUUGCUUCAACAACUUGAAUAUAAAUUCUAGGGUUUCAAAUUUUCUUGUGUAGAGACAGCCAGAUGGUCGAGGAAGAUAUACACAUCUGAUUAGCCAAUGUGCUUGUAAAAAAAUAAAAUAAAAAAUAAAAAACGAAAGAGAAGAAAAGAAAAGGAGAAGUCAGUGUCCAAAGCCAUGUUUAAAGAGUAUCAGAUCACUCACAUGAGAUCCUAUGCAU